rnacentral:lncRNA from 1 species
GUAGAAUGGAAACAAGAAGAAAAACUAACACAACCAAAUGUCAUAGCUAUUUAAAUAUGACAAAACUGAAAUCACUUCCCCAGCUGUCUUCUGGAUAGUAUGUAAUGUGUGUGCAUCUGUAUAUGUUUGCAGAGAACAAUCUAUUCAAUGGAGGGAAUGAGGAUGCAAACAGAAGUUUAUUUGGGAUUCUGGACGAGUGGAGAGGAGGAAUUACUUGUAUGGCUUUGCCCAUUUGAGGAUU